UUUCCGUAGGUGAACCUGCGGAAGGAUCAUUGAUUCCCUCGUAUUCACACCGAGAACACCCCCAUGUUGGCCUGGCCGCCAAAGGUCCCCUUUGGCGGUCACCUGCAGCCCGACUGGCUUGCCAGCCCGACUGUGGGGGCCGGGUUCACACCUGGCCGGCUGUUUCUCCCAUUCAAACCAAUAUCUGAAGGCAAUUGCUUGCUCACACGAGCGGCGACUAACAAAGACAACUCUCAACAACGGAUAUCUUGGCUCCC
rnacentral:misc_RNA from 1 species